GAUUCUACAUUAUUUAAAAUCAAAACUCUAGCCGUCCCCAUGUCUCUCAACCCUCUACUCUAUCUUCCCUUCAAAUCUCUAGCUGCCUCCACUACCGUCUCUUCUCCUCAAAACUGUAGCUACCUCUCUGCUCUCUCUUCUCCUUCACGGGUUCACAGCUUCACCAGUUCACCUCUUUCUUCAGCUUUCAACAGACGAAUCCACUAGCAAGAUGGAAAAAGAUGAGAUGCAGUGUAUUGACACUAAAAAUGAAGGUGAAGACAUUGACUUAAAAGAUAAACU